GAAAUGCGAUACGUAAUGUGAAUUGCAGAAUUCCGUGAAUCAUUGAAUCUUUGAACGCAACUUGCACUCACUACACAUGAGUAUGCCUGUUUGAGUACCUAUAAACACCUCCAACCGAUUUGGUUGAAAUUUGGGCGGUUCAGCCCCUGGGCUGAUUGCCUCAAAGUCAUAACUGGCUAGCUGCGUUAGUGACGAACGUGGACAAAGUGAAUGAAGGGUGCGCCCACGUCCUUUGGCUGCGCCUAGUCGGUCAGCGAGCAAAGUAGCCUGUCACAGGGCAUAGAUUGCCGCAAGGCAUUCUGAACCUCAGGUCUCAAAUCAGGUAGGAAGACCCGCUGAACUUAA
rnacentral:misc_RNA from 1 species